rnacentral:lncRNA from 1 species
AUACCCUUCAAUCCUAUAUGAUCAUACCUGAAUAAUACUAUUCUUGUGGAUAGCACAACAAGGCAGCACUACCAAAUAUGCCAUAAGUAUCACUAGGUCAACAUCAUACCAAUCACUAUAGCAAGCCUUGUGGAUAGCACAACAAACUCACUAUAGUUUUUAAUAUAUUUUAUUGACUUAGUAUGAGCUAAAUAUAAAUUAGCUUCAUUAUACACCAAGACAGUAUUAAGCCAAUCCCCACAGCAAGCCUUGUGGAUAGUACAAUAAGCCUACUAUGGUUCUUGACAUAAUAGUGACCUAGC